rnacentral:ncRNA from 1 species
UAAAAAACGUUGAGUAGAAGAGUAGGUUAAUGUAUCCUUCAGAGAGUUUGUGGUUAGUGCGAGCAAACGGUUAUAUUAAACGAAACACAUCUGCGAGUGUGUGAUUGAAUUGAGUAGGUCAUAUCGGGAAUGCCCGUUACCGCAUACAGUCUUUUGACUGACUGAGAUGUAACUAGUGAUAGUUAUAUAAUCAAGAGGUGGCACCGCGGAAAAACGCCCUCUAA